rnacentral:rRNA from 1 species
CAGCAGCCGCGGUAAUACAGAGGGUGCGAGCGUUAAUCGGAUUUACUGGGCGUAAAGCGUGCGUAGGCGGCUAAUUGAGUCGGAUGUGAAAUCCCCGAGCUUAACUUAGGAAUUGCAUUCGAUACUGGGAAGCUAGAGUAUGGGAGAGGAUGGUAGAAUUCCAGGUGUAGCGGUGAAAUGCGUAGAGAUCUGGAGGAAUACCGAUGGCGAAGGCAGCCAUCUGGCCUAAUACUGACGCUGAGGUACGAAAGCAUGGGGAGCAAACAGGAUUAGAUACCCGUGUAGUCCCUGUCUCUUAUAC